UACGUAGGGGGCGAGCGUUGUCCGGAAUCACUGGGCGUAAAGGGCGCGUAGGCGGUAUAUUAAGUCAGGUGUGAAAGUUUUCGGCUCAACCGGAAAAGUGCACUUGAAACUAAUAAACUUGAGUACUGGAGAGGUAAGCGGAAUUCCUAGUGUAGCGGUGAAAUGCGUAGAUAUUAGGAGGAACACCGGUGGCGAAGGCGGCUUACUGGACAGAGACUGACGCUGAGGCGCGAAAGCGUGGGGAGCAAACAGGAUUAGAUACCCGCGUAGUCCCUGAGCGGG
rnacentral:rRNA from 1 species